rnacentral:sRNA from 1 species
UCUGCAUUAAUACCUGUUUUGCCUACUGCCUCGUCUCUGAACACAAAAACUGCAGACGACACAGUGGAAGUGUCGUUCCCCGCAUUUGCCUUCACUUCCGGAUCGCCUACCACUAUAUCUACGCCUUUACUUUCGCUGGUAACCUCUGACUCACAGCUGUUGUCAGAACAAUCAACAAUCACACCAGCCUCCACUGUAUCAUCUUCUUUCCAGUCUGCCUCUCCGUCUGUUUCUCCGUCUGCCUCUCCUUCCGUCUCCGCACCCACUUCUCCAGCUGCAAGACAAACGCGAACAAGCAUCGUAGUUGUGACGGCAAGUCCUACUAGCACUGCCACAAGCAGUUCUGGUGAACUUGUCGGAGCAGCUAGAGAGGCGGAUAAUGACCGUUCUGCUGGUGCUAGUUUGUACGGAUCUGCGUACGGAGCCAUGUUUCUGGGG